CGCCCAACCCUGAUGCUGGAGAGGAGGAGCUCCCUUUCCGGGAGGGCCAGAUUUUGAAGGUGUUUGGGGACAAGGAUGCUGAUGGCUUCUAUCGGGCGAAUGUGGGGGCCAGACAGGCUAUAUCCCCUGCAACAUGGUGGCUGAAGUGGCUGUGGACAGUCCCACAGGGGAGGCAGCAGCUGUUCCAGCGAGGUUAUUUGUCUCCAGAUGUUGUCCUUGAGGGCACAGGGAAUAGUCCCUUUGUGUACUCCACAACCCACACAGCUGGGCCUCCACCCAAGCCCCGCCGCUCUAAGAAAGCAGAGUUGGAAGGCCCUGCUCAGCCCUUCGCAGGUCCCCCCAAGGUGGUUGCCUCUGCUGCCCUGAAAGCUCCCCACCCCAUGGUAGCUGCAUUUGACUACAACCCCGGGAAAACUCCCCCUAAUAUGGACGUGGAGGCAGAGCUGCCCUUCAGGGCGGGAGAUGUCAUCACUGUGUUUGGGAGCAUGGAUGACGAUGGUUUCUACUAUGGAGAACUGAAUGGACAGAGGGGCCUGGUUCCAUCCAACUUCCUGGGGCCCCCGGGCCUGAGGUAGGCAGCCCAGACAGGGAACCCAGGACACCCCAGGCAGAGAGUCAGAGAACGAGGAGGAGAAGAGUCCAGUGCUAGAUGGAGAUAGAUAUAUGUAGAGAGAGCAACAUGACUGGAUUGGUGCACGAGGACCCGAAGUGCCCCUGGGGCUGGCACUGCUCCUCCAGCCCUGGCAGCCUCCCCAGGACCGAACUGGGGGGCCGCAGGAGCACAGUUGAGAAGGUGCUGGGGUCUCCUGUCCAAAGGGAAGCAGCUCCUCAGGAAACUGGGCUCUGGGAGGAAGGAGUGAAGCUGUGGCCCUUUCUGGAGUGGCCCCUGGAGACACCCAGGUCACUGCUGUGGCUGGACAGGGGAGGCCCUGCCCCGUCCCAGAGCUCCUGGUCUUUGUAGCGUUAACACAGUGGCACUUGGAUGGGAAUCAAAGAGAAUUGGUGAAGGUGGGAGCCUAGGGUGGGUCUUGAGGGGUGCGUCCUCUAGCUGGGCCCCUUCCCCUUGUAGGAGGGAAACUCCUCCCCGCAGUGAGUAACCUGACCGAGCUCACGGAGCCCCAGUGAGACCAGGAUGGGACUCAGGUCUCUUGACUCCCAGUCCACCCACCUAGUCCAAUCCUAGUUUCCCACCAGGCUGUGUAGGUCCCUUCUUUGACCCUCUCUGUACCCAGGACGGAACCCUGAGGGGAGAAGGGGCCUGUCUCCACAGUGGCUCUGGCUGUCCUGAUUGGAAAGCUUGCAUUGGAGUCUCCCGUGGGGGCGGCGGGCGGAACCUUGUAUAUAUGUACAUACUCAGUGCCUCACUCCAGCCCCUCCAUUGCGCCUCAGCCUCCACCGCACAGGCUGGGGAGGGAGAGGGCCAGGCCGGGAAGCGGGCCUCACCCCGCCCCGCUGUGCUCCACCCCUCCCUGCCCCGCCGCCUGGCCCCUGUGCACCCUCCUUGAAACCCAGGGGACCAGGGGGCAGAAAGCAGGAGUUGGGUUUGCCUUAUUUUGCUCAUUGGAUUCAACUUCUCUUUUGCAUUGUUUUCCUCUGACCCCUGUGGGUGUCCAGGGGCUGAGAAUAAGGACAGAUUUAUGCAGCUAUUUUCAUACAUUCCCUGUUCAGAGUGGGUAGGGGCUUCUCCACCCUUCCCAAGCUGCCCAUCCCUCACCCUGGCUGGGUGAAUGUCUCUCUGCAUGUUUCUUUCGCUGUGGUGGGAGAUUGUUUAGAACCCCGCCUCCAUCCUGGUCUCCAGGGGUGUGGAAUGGUGGAGGCA
rnacentral:lncRNA from 1 species